UAUAUAGGAAGCUGGGAGUUAGGAACUGAAGUGAGCCACUGACAAUAUAUGGAAACAUUUAAGCAUCCAAUUCUCUUACAGUUGCAGAGGACGAAGGUGUCUGAUGAAAAUCCUUCCAUGCCAACAGAUAUUUUGACAGAGAACAACGGUGGCAGCGAGGGUUCCAACAUUCAAGGUUGAGCUGGUGUUGAUGGGGCUUCUGGUAGUAGUAAACCUGUUUCGAAGAUGCCUUCAAUCAAAUUCUCAAUCAUCAAGAAAUCCGCGCCACAAUCCUCAACUGUAGGCGUGGAGAAAGCACAGCAAGAUGCCGAACCCACCGCUGCUACCAGCAACGUAUUACAAUCCUUAUUCCAAGAGUAUGGAAGCAAUGAAGACGAGUAAUCAGAGUAUAUAAAGAUAAAACAUGUAAUACCGAUCUCCCUAGUUCAGAUUCA